CAGACAAUCCUGAAGACUGAAGCCCUGUAAUUAUUCACAGGACAGGUACAGCGUGAGUAGCAGGAGCACAACUUUGCUGUACCUCAUCUCUUUUCUGAGAGGGCCACCUUUGUGUUUGAGAGGGAAGGUCAGUCAGUCUCCUUGCCCAUUCAGUCUUUGUCCUUG
rnacentral:sRNA from 1 species